rnacentral:rRNA from 1 species
GAUGAACGCUGGCGGCGUGCCUAAUACAUGCAAGUAGAACGCAGAAGCGUGGUGCUUGCACCUAUCGCAUUAGUGGCGAACGGGUGAGUAACGCGUAGGUAACCUGCCUAUAAGCCGGGGAUAACUACUGGAAACGAGAGCUAAUACCGGAUAAUAUUUUAUACCGCAUGAUAUUGUAGUGAAAGGUGCAAUUGCUGCCCUAUGUAGUGGAACUCCCUCGCAUUUGCAAGUUGGUUAGGUAACGGCCUACCAAGGCAACCAUGCGGAACCGACCUGAGAGGUUGAUCGGCCACCCUGGAACGAGGACACGGUCCAGACUCCUACGGGAGGCAGCAGUAGGAAAUCUUCCGCAAUGGGCGAAAGCCUGACGGAGCAACGCCGCUGGGGUGAUGAAGUUCUCCGGAUCUUAAAACUCUUUUAAUAGGGAAGAACAGAUUUGUAAGUAACUAUUCACGCCUUGACGGUACCUAAUCAGAAAGCCACGGCUAACUACGUG